UACGUAGGGUGCAGGCGUUAAUCGGAAUUACUGGGCGUAAAGCGUACGCAGGCGGUUUGCUAAGACAGGUGUGAAAUCCCCGGGCUUAACCUGGGAACUGCGCUUGUUACUGGCAAGCUAGAGUGUGGGCAGAGGGGGGGUAGAAUUCCAGGUGUAGCAGUGAAAUGCGUAGAUAUCUGGAGGAACACCGGUGGCGAAGGCGGCAUCCUGGACCAACACUGACACUGAGGAGCGAAAGCCAGGGGAGCAAACGGG
rnacentral:rRNA from 1 species